AAGACUAACUUAUAGGCUUCCUAUGUUUCCAGUAGUGAACUUCAUUUCCUGAGAAGAAUGAAGCAAAAGGAUUCUUCUGAAACCUUUACUUGAAAUCUUUAUUGGAGCAAACAGUAAAACAAUAGGAUAAAGUUAUAUCACAUCCUGAUGUCAUCUAUCAACCUGAUUAGAAAACUAAGCCAUCAUCAUUCAUUCUGUCAGUAUCUUUUGCACACUGGUGGUACCUGCCUUACUUCCUGGAAGAGCAGCAGAUAUGAAACCUGAGAUCCAGGAAGUCGCCACCUCAUGGACUCCGUUAUGACAGGAAACUGCAAUACAACACUC
rnacentral:lncRNA from 1 species